rnacentral:rRNA from 1 species
AAACUAACAAGGAUUCCCCUAGUAACGGCGAGUGAAGAGGGAAGAGCCCAAGAUUGAAAGCUGGCGUCUUCGGCGUCCGCAUUGUAAUCUCAAGAAGUGUUUUCCGCUUCGGACCAUGCCUAAGUCCCUUGGAAAAGGGCAUCAUAGAGGGUGAUAAUCCCGUACAUGGCAUGGAGCGCCCGAAGCUUUGUGAUACGCUUUCUAAGAGUCGAGUUGUUUGGGAAUGCAGCUCAAAAUGGGUGGUAAAUGCCAUCUAAGGCUAAAUAUUGGGGAGAGACCGAUAGCGAACAAGUACAGUGAUGGAAAGAUGAAAAGAACUUUGAAAAGAGAGUUAAACAGUACGUGAAAUUGCCAAAAGGGAAGGGUAGGAGGUCAGAGAUGCGUCGCAGGAUUCAGCCUUGCUUUUGCUUGGUGUUUUUCCUGCGUUGCAGGCCAACGUCGGUUUUGGGCACUGGAGAAGGGUAGGAGGAACGUGGCACCUCUCGGGGUGUGUUAUAGCCUCCUACUGGAUACAGCGACCGAGACCGAGGAACGCAGCGUACUCGUAAGAGCGGGCCUUUUGGCACCUUUACGCUUAGGGCGUUGGCAUAAU